AUUGAACGCUGGCGGCAGGCUUAACACAUGCAAGUCGAGCGAGCGGCGGACGGGUGAGUAAUGUCUGGGACACUGCCUGAUGGAGGGGGAUAACUACUGGAAACGGUCGCUUAUACCGCAUACCCUCAGAUGUGCCCAUAUGGGAUUAGCUCGUAGGUGGGGUAAUGGCUCACAUAGGCGACGAUCCCUAGCUGGUCUGAGAGGAUGACCAGCCACACUGGAACUGAGACACGGCCCAGACUCCUACGGGAGGCAGCAGUGGGGAAUAUUGCACAAUGGGCGAAAGCCUGAUGCAGCCAUGCCGCGUGUAUGAAGAAGGCCUUCGGGUUGUAAAGUACUUUCAGCGGGGAGGCGUUACUCGCAGAAGAAGCACCGGCUAACUCCGUGCCAGCAGCCGCGGUAAUAC
rnacentral:rRNA from 1 species